rnacentral:rRNA from 1 species
CCUACGGGAGGCAGCAGUGAGGAAUAUUGGUCAAUGGGCGUAAGCCUGAACCAGCCAAGUCGCGUGAGGGAUGAAGGCUCUAUGGAUCGUAAACCUCUUUUAUAAGGGAAUAAAGUGCGGGACGUGUCCCGUUUUGUAUGUACCUUAUGAAUAAGGAUCGGCUAACUCCGUGCCAGCAGCCGCGGUAAUACGGAGGAUCCGAGCGUUAUCCGGAUUUAUUGGGUUUAAAGGGUGCGUAGGCGGCCUUUUAAGUCAGCGGUGAAAGUCUGUGGCUCAACCAUAGAAGUGCCGUUGAAACUGGGAGGCUUGAGUAUGUGAGAGGCAGGCGGAAGGCGUGGUGUAGCGGUGAAAUGCUUAGAUAUCAGGAAGAACACCGAUUGCGAAGGCAGCCUGC